UACGUAGGGGGCAAGCGUUAUCCGGAUUUACUGGGUGUAAAGGGAGCGUAGGUGGCAUGGUAAGCCAGAAGUGAAAACCCGGGGCUCAACCCCGCGGAUUGCUUUUGGAACUAUCAGGCUGGAGUGCUGGAGGGGUAAGCGGAAUUCCUAGUGUAGCGGUGAAAUGCGUAGAUAUUAGGAGGAACACCGGUGGCGAAGGCGGCUUACUGGACAGAAACUGACACUGAGGCUCGAAAGCGUGGGGAGCAAGCAGG
rnacentral:rRNA from 1 species